AAGCGGUGGAGCAUGUGGUUUAAUUCGAAGCAACGCGAAGAACCUUACCAGGUCUUGACAUCCCUGACAACCAGAGAUUGGGCGUUCCCCUCGGGGGACAGGGUGACAGGUGGUGCAUGGUUGUCGUCAGCUCGUGUCGUGAGAUGUUGGGUUAAGUCCCGCAACGAGCGCAACCCUCGCCUCUAGUUGCCAGCAUUCGGUUGGGCACUCUAGAGGGACUGCCGGCGACAAGUCGGAGGAAGGUGGGAUGACGUCAAAUCAUCAUGCCCCUUAUGACCUGGGCUACACACGUGCUACAAUGGGCGGUACAAAGGGCUGCGAACCCGCGAGGGGGAGCGAAUCCCAAAAAGCCGCUCUCAGUUCGGAUUGCAGGCUGCAACUCGCCUGCAUGAAGCCGGAAUCGCUAGUAAUCGCGGAUCAGCAUGCCGCGGUCGAAUACGUUCCCGGGCCUU
rnacentral:rRNA from 1 species